rnacentral:rRNA from 1 species
AGUGAACGCUGGCGGUAGGCCUAACACAUGCCAGUCGAACGGCAGCACAGUAAGAGCUUGCUCUUACGGGUGGCGAGUGGCGGACGGGUGAGGAAUACAUCGGAAUCUACUUUUUCGUGGGGGAUAACGUAGGUAAACUUACGCUAAUACCGCAUACGACCUACGGGUGAAAGCAGGGGAUCUUCGGACCUUGCGCGAUUGAAUGAGCCGAUGUCGGAUUAGCUAGUUGGCGGGGUAAAGGCCCACCAAGGCGACGAUCCGUAGCUGGUCUGAGAGGAUGAUCAGCGACACUGGAACUGAGACACGGUCCAGACUCCUACGGGAGGCAGCAGUGGGGAAUAUUGGACAAUGGGCGCAAGCCUGAUCCAGCCAUACCGCGUGGGUGAAGAAGGCCUUCGGGUUGUAAAGCCCUUUUGUUGGGAAAGAAAAGCAGCAGGUUAAUACCCCGCUGUUCUGACGGUACCCAAAGAAUAAGCACCGGCUAACUUCGUG